CCAGACUCCUACGGGAGGCAGCAGUGGGGAAUAUUGCACAAUGGGGGAAACCCUGAUGCAGCGACGCCGCGUGAGUGAAGAAGUCAUUCGUGAUGUAAAGCUCUAUCAGCAGGGAAGAAAAUGACGGUACCUGACCAAGAAGCCCCGGCUAACUACGUGCCAGCAGCCGCGGUAAUACGUAGGGGGCAAGCGUUAUCCGGAUUUACUGGGUGUAAAGGGAGCGUAGACGGCCGUGCAAGUCUGAUGUGAAAACCCGGGGCUCAACCCCGGGACUGCAUUGGAAACUGCAUGGCUGGAGUGUCGGAGAGGCAAGUGGAAUUCCUAGUGUAGCGGUGAAAUGCGUAGAUAUUAGGAGGAACACCAGUGGCGAAGGCGGCUUGCUGGACGACGACUGACGUUGAGGCUCGAAAGCGUGGGGAGCAAACAGGAUUAGAUACCCGCGUAC
rnacentral:rRNA from 1 species